rnacentral:misc_RNA from 1 species
UUGUGGAGGAGGACGCCGAAGGUGGGGCUAAUGACUGGGGUGAAGUCGUAACAAGGUAGCCGUACCGGAAGGUGCGGCUGGAUCACCUCCUAACAGGGAGACAACAAAAAUGUUUAAUAUUAUUAUUUUGUCACCUUAGGUCGAUCGGUAUCUCACGUUCUUAAUUUAUUAAGAAUUUCAUUUCCUAAGUUUUUCUAGGUCACACCCAUUAUUUUUCCUGGGCCAUUAGCUCAGGUGGUUAGAGCGCACCCCUGAUAAGGGUGAGGUCCCUGGUUCAAGUCCAGGAUGGCCCAUAUCUCUAUGUUGGGGGUAUAGCUCAGUUGGUAGAGCGCCUGCUUUGCAAGCAGGAUGUCAGCGGUUCGAGUCCGCUUACCUCCACUGAUCACCACCUCUUCCAUAAUCGAUAGAAAGGAAAUGUUUUGAGUUGUGAUCUAAUUCUGAACGAAUCUAGCUUCCUAAUGAAAUUAUUAAGAUGCUGGACUCAUUGAAUUAAUUUCAUUGUUUUCAGAGAACCUUGACAACUGCAUAGAUUAUUUUUUAAAGACAAUAAGCAUCUUUAAUGAUGCAGAUUUAUUAUUUGUGCGAAUGCAUUAAUAACAAUUCUAUUAAGCUGAUGCUUCAAUUUUGAAGUUAUUGGUCAAGCUACAA